GAGUUGGACAAAAGAGAAGGAGGAAAGAUGAAGAAAAGAAGAUUCGCAGCUACCGCCUGGCGGUGUACUCUUUAGAGAACUCUCUGCUAGACGCUCAAGCGGUACCACUAAGGGGUGAAGUGGAAUGUCAACCUCACCGCUGGGCGGUGAAGCCACUGCCGGGCGGUGGAACCUUCAGGGAAUUCUCUGCCAAACACUCAGGCGACAACGCCAAGGGAUGAUGUUAAGUGCCGAACAUACUGCCGGGCGAUGGACUAUUGGGCCUAGGCCAGUUUAUGCUUUGUUUUAAUGAGUUAUAAAUAGAUUUGGACGACCUAGAUGGUGAAUCUUUUUAC
rnacentral:lncRNA from 1 species